rnacentral:rRNA from 1 species
ACGCUGGCGGCAGGCCUAACACAUGCAAGUCGAGCGGAAACGACUUAACUGAACCUUCGGGGAACGUUAAGGGCGUCGAGCGGCGGACGGGUGAGUAAUGCCUAGGAAAUUGCCUUGAUGUGGGGGAUAACCAUUGGAAACGAUGGCUAAUACCGCAUAAUGCCUUCGGGCCAAAGAGGGGGACCUUCGGGCCUCUCGCGUCAAGAUAUGCCUAGGUGGGAUUAGCUAGUUGGUGAGGUAAGGGCUCACCAAGGCGACGAUCCCUAGCUGGUCUGAGAGGAUGAUCAGCCACACUGGAACUGAGACACGGUCCAGACUCCUACGGGAGGCAGCAGUGGGGAAUAUUGCACAAUGGGCGCAAGCCUGAUGCAGCCAUGCCGCGUGUAUGAAGAAGGCCUUCGGGUUGUAAAGUACUUUCAGUCGUGAGGAAGGUUUCGUAGUUAAUAACUGCGUUGCUUGACGUUAGCGACAGAAGAAGCACCGGCUAACUCCGUGCCAGCAGCCGCGGUAAUACGGAGGGUGCGAGCGUUAAUCGGAAUUACUGGGCGUAAAGCGCAUGCAGGUGGUUCGUUAAGUCAGAUGUGAAAGCCCGGGGCUCAACCUCGGAAUUGCAUUUGAAACUGGCGGACUAGAGUACUGUAGAGGGGGGUAGAAUUUCAGGUGUAGCGGUGAAAUGCGUAGAGAUCUGAAGGAAUACCAGUGGCGAAGGCGGCCCCCUGGACA